UGUAUUUUGCAUCAGCUGUCAUUGUGGGACUUGCUACCUUUCUAGCAUUCGUCGAUUUCACGAUUGCAAAGCCUGAACCAGAACCAAGUCAUGGACAUAAUGUCUCGUAAUAAUCUCUUCUCUUCUUAAUUGAAGGAUAAAUAUCCCUAGGAUCUACCGCAAUGGAAGCUGCACUUGUGUUAUGAUCAAGAGAAAUAAAAUUGUAUAAACAUAAAAA